rnacentral:other from 1 species
GGUUCCCUGCGAUGCGCGUGAUAAAUGAUGAACUUAGAACCAACACCUCUUUAACGGGAGCUUUAUACCGCACGCGGUGUGCAUGCUCGUUUCGGCGAGAAGCCUUAAGCGGCGAAAUGGCGCCCACACUCACAAGAGGUUCAAGAUUUUGUUGUUUACACGGCAUUGCGGGGUUUUG